GGUUUGAUCAUGGCUCAGAUUGAACGCUGGCGGGAUGCUUUACAAUAUGCAAGUCGAACGGGCAGCACGGACUUCGGUCUGGUGGCGAGUGGCGAAACGCAGUAAUGUAAUGAAUGUGCCUAGUAGCGGGGGGAUAACUACGCGAAAGCGUAGCUACGCGACUGCACAACAUUCCUUCGGGGAAAGCGGACCUUCGGGCCUCGCACUAUUAGAGCGGCCGAUAUCGGAUUAGCUAGUUGGUGGGGUAACGGCUCGCUCGCGACGAUCCGUAGCUGGUUUGAGAGGACGACCAGCCACACUGGACUGAGACACGGCCCAGACUCCUACGGGAGGCAGGUGGUGGGGAAUUUUAGCUGGCUGGGGUCCUGAUCACCAGCGAGCUCCGAAAAAGGGGUAGCGAAGGCUCUGGGUUGUAAAGCACUUUUGGCAGGAAAGAAACGGCACGGAUAAUACCCCGUGCAACUGACGGUACCUGCAGAAUAAGCACUGGCGACCACGCCGGCGAAGCCGGCAAUACGUAGGGUGCAAGCGUUAAUCGGAAUUACUGUAUGCAAGCGCGCAGGCGGUUCGGAAAGAAAGAUGUGAAAUCCCAGAGCUUAACUUUGGAACUGCAUUUUUAACUACCGAGUCAGAGUGCCGAGGGAGGUGGAAUUCGCAGUGAAAUGCGUAGAUAUGCGGAGGAACACCGAUGGCGAAGGCAGCCUCCUGGGAUAACACUGACGCUCAUGCACGAAAGCGUGGGGAGCAAACAGGAUUAGAUAUGUUCCGGUAGUCCACGCCCUAAACGAUGUCAACUAGCUGUUGGGGCCUUCGGGCCUUGGUAGCGCAGCUAACGCGUGAAGCACCGCCUGGGGAGCAUGGUCAAAGAUUAAAACUCAAAGGAAUUGGACGGGACCCGCACAAGCGGUGGAUGAUGUGGAUUAAUUCGAUGCAAACGCGAAAAAACCUUACCUACCCUUGACAUGUCUGGAAUCCCGAAGAGAUUUGGGAGUGCUCAAGAGAACCGGAACACAGGUGCUGCAUGGCUGUCGUCAGCUCGUGUCGUGAGAUGUUGGGUUAAGUCCCGCAACGAGCGCAACCCUUGUCAUUAGUUGGUUACGAAAGGGCAUCAUCGAGACUGUUGCGAAUAAACUGGAGGAAGUGGGGAUGACGUCAAGUCCUCAUGGCCCUUAUGGGUAGGGCUUCACACGUCAUACAAUGGUCGGGACAGAGGGCUCAACCCGCGAGGGGGAGCCAAUCCUGCAGAAACCCGAUCGUAGUCCGAUCGCAGUCUGCAACUCGACUGCGUGAAGUCGGAAUCGCUAGUAAUCGCGGAUCAGCAUGUCGCGGUGAAUACGUUCCUGGUCUUGUACACAACGGCCCGUCACACCAGGUGGGAGUGGGUUUUACCAGAAGUAGUUAGCCUAACCGUGGAAGAGGGCAUUUACCAUUGUGGGAUUCAUGACUGGGGUGAAGUCGUAACAAGGUAA
rnacentral:rRNA from 1 species